AAGACCUUGCGCUUUUGGAGCGGCCGAUGCCUGAUUAGCUUGUUGGUAAGGUAAAAGCUUACCAAGGCUUCGAUCAGUAGCUGGUCUGAGAGGACGGCCAGCCACACUGGGACUGAGACACGGCCCAGACUCCUACGGGAGGCAGCAGUGGGGAAUUUUGGACAAUGGGGGCGACCCUGAUCCAGCCAUGCCGCGUGAGUGAAGAAGGCCUUCGGGUUGUAAAGCUCUUUCAGCCGGAACGAAACGGUUACGGUUAAUACCCGUGAUUACUGACGGUACCGGAAGAAGAAGCACCGGCUAACUACGUGCCAGCAGCCGCGGUAAUACGUAGGGUGCGAGCGUUAAUCGGAAUUACUGGGCGUAAAGCGUGCGCAGGUGGUUUUGUAAGUCAGAUGUGAAAGCCCCGGGCUCAACCUGGGAACU
rnacentral:rRNA from 1 species